AUGGUAUUCAAAGCAUACCAUGAUGAUUCAUUACAAAGAUUUCUUCAAGCUCAUAAUCAAGUGAAAGAGAUAUGCAACUUGGAGAAGAAAGAUUGUUUUGAAUACUUGGGAUUCUACCAUGGAAUUCAAGAGUUAACAAGAGGAAAUGAGUCAUUGUGUUCACAUAAAGCUAAUAGAUUUCAAGUUCAAACCCUAUGUCCAUUACAAAAUUUGUCCAAAUUACAUUACAAACCUAUCCUAACCUAG